UUUCAGCUGUUAAAGGGCAAAAAGACUUUGAACCAAGGAUUUGGAUGUCUGUUUUUUGCUGAUCCCUGUAAACAAGGCAUGUACAAAGCUACCCUGAGGGAAAACCUGAAUUGCAUAUAGAAGUCACAGCCGGAGGCGAGAAGGGAACUGCAAGACGUCUUCCUAACAUUCUUUGUUUC